rnacentral:rRNA from 1 species
UACGUAGGCAGCGAGCGUUGUUCGGAAUUACUGGGCGUAAAGGGUGUGUAGGCGGUUCUCUAAGUUUGGUGUGAAAUCUCCCGGCUUAACCGGGAGGGUGCGCCGAAAACUGGGGGACUAGAGUGCGGGAAGGGAGAGUGGAAUUCCUGGUGUAGCGGUGAAAUGCGUAGAUAUCAGGAGGAACACCGGUGGUGUAGACGGCUCUCUGGACCGUAACUGACGCUGAGGCGCGAAAGCGUGGGGAGCAAACAGG